GCCAAAUGUGUUGACACAAACCAAAAAGAAGCACACGUGAGCUCAAAAAGUCUGCAAGCAUAAGAUAAGCUUCUGGCAGACCUGAUGGUAGACUCUUUACACGUUUUCUAGUCUAGUGGUGUUUUAAUGUUUCUUGCCUCAAGAGUUACUUCCUUGUAAUCUGAUCCUCCUCUCAUACUGCUGCAACAUUAUUUCCUGCAUGAAUGCUUACGUUAUGGGGCUGAAGGAAGUACAGAGAGAAAGACCACCUCUCCAAUGCCUCCCCAUGUAGACAAGAUUUCCUGCCAUAACGACAUUUUUACUGAUGGUCCAGCAGAAAGACAACACACAGCACAGCAAUAUAGAGGGACCCCAGCUACUCCCUCCAUUCAAAAUCUACUGUGAAACUCUCACUGAAGGCAAUAAGGGAAGAUUUAGACCUUCUAAUUCAAUUAUAAUUAACCCAGACUCAGGCUUCUCUUUCAUGAUAUAUCUGGAAGCGAAAAUGGUACAAGUGAGUAAGCAGACAAGCACAUGGCCAGGGUUGUUAUAG
rnacentral:lncRNA from 1 species